rfam:Halorientalis sp. IM1011, complete genome.
GGUGAGACACGCAGACAGGUGACUGCGCUCGCCUUGAAAGCGAGAGCCGUCAGGCUUCUGAGUUCGACUCUCAGUCUCACCG